rnacentral:rRNA from 1 species
AGUGAACGCUGGCGGUAGGCCUAACACAUGCAAGUCGAACGGCAGCACAGUAAGAGCUUGCUCUUACGGGUGGCGAGUGGCGGACGGGUGAGGAAUACAUCGGAAUCUACUUUUUCGUGGGGGAUAACGUAGGGAAACUUACGCUAAUACCGCAUACGACCUACGGGUGAAAGCAGGGGAUCUUCGGACCUUGCGCGAUUGAAUGAGCCGAUGUCGGAUUAGCUAGUUGGCGGGGUAAAGGCCCACCAAGGCGACGAUCCGUAGCUGGUCUGAGAGGAUGAGCAGCCACACUGGAACUGAGACACGGUCCAGACUCCUACGGGAGGCAGCAGUGGGGAAUAUUGGACAAUGGGCGAAAGCCUGAUCCAGCAAUACCGCGUGGGUGAAGAAGGCCUUCGGGUUGUAAAGCCCUUUUGUUGGGAAAGAAAAGCAGCAGGUUAAUACCCCGCUGUUCUGACGGUACCCAAAGAAUAAGCACCGGCUAACUUCGUG